rnacentral:rRNA from 1 species
UACAGAGGGUGCAAACGUUGUUCGGAAUUACUGGGCGUAAAGCGCGUGUAGGCGGCUACGCAAGUCGGAUGUGAAAUCCCGCAGCUCAACUGUGGAAGUGCACUCGAUACUGCGAAGCUAGAGUCCUGGAGAGGAAGGUGGAAUGCUUGGUGUAGAGGUGAAAUUCGUAGAUAUCAAGCGGAACACCGGUGGCGAAGGCGGCCUUCUGGACAGUGACUGACGCUGAGACGCGAAAGCGUGGGGAGCAAACAGG